rnacentral:rRNA from 1 species
CUGAAGCCUGGUGCUUGCACCGGGUGGAUGAGUGGCGAACGGGUGAGUAACACGUGAGUAACCUGCCCCUGACUUCGGGAUAAGCCCGGGAAACUGGGUCUAAUACCGGAUACGACUGCCGGACGCAUGUCUGGUGGUGGAAAGUUUUUUCGGUUGGGGAUGGGCUCGCGGCCUAUCAGUUUGUUGGUGAGGUAAUGGCUCACCAAGACGACGACGGGUAGCCGGCCUGAGAGGGCGACCGGCCACACUGGGACUGAGACACGGCCCAGACUCCUACGGGAGGCAGCAGUGGGGAAUAUUGCACAAUGGGGGAAACCCUGAUGCAGCGACGCAGCGUGCGGGAUGACGGCCUUCGGGUUGUAAACCGCUUUCAGCAGGGAAGAAGCGCAAGUGACGGUACCUGCAGAAGAAGUACCGGCUAACUACGUGCCAGCAGCCGCGGUAAUACGUAGGGUACGAGCGUUGUCCGGAAUUAUUGGGCGUAAAGAGCUCGUAGGUGGUUGGUCACGUCUGCUGUGGAAACGCAACGCUUAACGUUGCGCGUGCAGUGGGUACGGGCUGACUAGAGUGCAGUAGGGGAGUCUGGAAUUCCUGGUGUAGCGGUGAAAUGCGCAGAUAUCAGGAGGAACACCGGUGGCGAAGGCGGGACUCUGGGCUGUAACUGACACUGAGGAGCGAAAGCAUGGGGAGCGAACAGGAUUAGAUACCCUGGUAGUCCAUGCCGUAAACGUUGGGCACUAGGUGUGGGGGGCAUUCCACGUUCUCCGCGCCGUAGCUAACGCAUUAAGUGCCCCGCCUGGGGAGUACGGUCGCAAGGCUAAAACUCAAAGGAAUUGACGGGGGCCCGCACAAGCGGCGGAGCAUGCGGAUUAAUUCGAUGCAACGCGAAGAACCUUACCAAGGCUUGACAUACACCGGACCGUCCUGGAAACAGGUCCUCUUCUUUGAAGCUGGUGUACAGGUGGUUGCAUGGUUGUCGUCAGCUCGUGUCGUGAGAAGGUUUGGGUUAAGUCCCGCAACGAGCGCAACCCUCGUUCUAUGUUGCAGCAUGGGGAUGGUGGGAACUCAUAGGAGACUGCCGG